rnacentral:rRNA from 1 species
GAUGAACGCUAGCGGGAGGCUUAACACAUGCAAGUCGAGGGGCAUCACGAGGUAGCAAUACUUUGGUGGCGACCGGCGCACGGGUGAGUAACACGUAUGCAACCUUCCCUGUACAGGGGGAUAACCCGGAGAAAUUCGGACUAAUACCCCAUGAUGAUAUUAUGGGGCAUCCUUUAAUAUUUAAAGCUCUGGCGGUACAGGAUGGGCAUGCGCGACAUUAGCUAGUUGGUAAGGUAACGGCUUACCAAGGCGACGAUGUUAGGGGACCUGAGAGGGUUGUCCCCCACACUGGUACUGAGACACGGACCAGACUCCUACGGGAGGCAGCAGUGAGGAAUAUUGGUCAAUGGGCGCAAGCCUGAACCAGCCAUCCCGCGUGCAGGAAGACGGCCCUAUGGGUUGUAAACUGCUUUUCCAGGGAGAGAAACUUACGCACGUGUUGCGUGACUGACGGUACCCUGGGAAUAAGCAUCGGCUAACUCCGUG